ensembl:snRNA U6 U6 spliceosomal RNA
GUGCUCAAGCUGGCAGCACAUAUACUAAAAAUGUAACGAUACAGAGAAGAUUAGCACAGCCCCUGAGCGGGGAUGACAUGAAAAGCCAUGAAGCGUUCCAUAUUUUU